rnacentral:sRNA from 1 species
CGAUGGCAAAAUACGUGUAAAGUUCCGUC